rnacentral:siRNA from 1 species
UUUGUCAAGUUCAGAGACCAAAAG